rnacentral:rRNA from 1 species
UACGUAGGUGGCAAGCGUUGUCCGGAUUUAUUGGGUUUAAAGGGUGCGUAGGCGGCCCUGUAAGUCAGCGGUGAAAUACGGCAGCUCAACUGUCGAGGUGCCGUUGAUACUGCGGGGCUUGAGUGUUGAUGAGGCAGGCGGAAUUGACGGUGUAGCGGUGAAAUGCGCAGAUAUCAGGAGGAACACCGGUGGCGAAGGCGGGUCUCUGGGCCGUAACUGACGCUGAGGAGCGAAAGCAUGGGGAGCGAACAGG